rnacentral:rRNA from 1 species
CAUUACUGAAAGAUAAGAGAGUUUUGAGACUACGUUUUUAUCGUGUGCUCGACUCUUACUCUUUAUCCACACACCCCUUUGUGCACCAUGGGAGACCGUAAGUGUCACCCCUUUUUGACAUUAAACACAAAGUUAUAUGCAUGUCUUUAUAUAUACUCUACGGAGUUAAAUGUAACAACUUUUAACAACGGAUCUCUUGGCUUUCGCAUCGAUGAAGAACGCAGCGAACGUGCGAAACGUAAUGUGAAUUGCAGAAUUCAGUGAAUCAUCGAAUCUUUGAACGCAUCUUGCGCUCCUUGGUAUUCCGAGGAGCAUGCCUGUUUGAGUGUCGUGAAUACUCUCAAUUUCAAUCUUUUUGUUUGAAAUUGGAUUUGGAUGUUGUUGUUGACGCAUUAACGACUCGUCCUAAAUACAUUAGCGAUCUGGCUUGAUCACACACAAUGUGAUAAAUUAUUUCAUCAUUGUUAUACUCAAGUCAUGACUGCUUCUAACCGUCGAAAGACACCGCAUAUAUGCAUGUCAUUUGACCUCAAAUCAGGUAGGACUACCCGCUGAACUUAAGCAUAUCAAUA